rnacentral:rRNA from 1 species
GUGAGGAAUAUUGGUCAAUGGGCGGGAGCCUGAACCAGCCAAGUCGCGUGAAGGAAGAAGGAUCUAUGGUUCGUAAACUUCUUUUGCAGGGGAAUAAAGUGCAGGACGUGUCCUGUUUUGUAUGUACCCUGAGAAUAAGGAUCGGCUAACUCCGUGCCAGCAGCCGCGGUAAUACGGAGGAUCCGAGCGUUAUCCGGAUUUAUUGGGUUUAAAGGGUGCGUAGGUGGUUUGAUAAGUCAGCGGUGAAAGUUUGCAGCUUAACUGUAAAAAUGCCGUUGAAACUGUCGGACUUGAGUGUAAAUGAGGUAGGCGGAAUGCGUGGUGUAGCGGUGAAAUGCAUAGAUAUCACGCAGAACUCCGAUUGCGAAGGCAGCUUACUAAGCUACAACUGACACUGAAGCACGAAAGCGUGGGGAUCAACAGGAUUAGAAACCCCGGUAGUCC